rnacentral:rRNA from 1 species
GAUGAACGCUGGCGGCGUGCCUAAUACAUGCAAGUCGAGCGAACAGACGCGGAGCUUGCUCCUCUGACGUUAGCGGCGGACGGGUGAGUAACACGUGGAUAACCUACCUAUCAGACUGGGAUAACUACGGGAAACCGGAGCUUAUACCGGAUAAUAUAUUGAAGCGCAUGGUUCAAUAGUGAAUGACGGUUUUUGUGUCUCUUCUCGCUGGUUCCGCGCCGCAUUAGCUAGUUGGUAAGGUAACGGAUUAUCAAGGCGAGGAUGCGUAGCCGAGCUGAUAGGGUGAUCGGCCACACUGGAGCUGAGACACGGUCCAGACGCCUACGAGAGGCAGCAGUAGGGAAUCUUCCGCAAUAGGCGAAAGCCUGACGGAGCAACGCCGCGUGAGUGAUGAAGGUCUUCGGAUCGUAAUACUCUGUUAUUAGGGAAGAACAAAUGUGUAAGUAACUAUGCACGUCUUGACGGUACCUAAUCAGAAAGCCACGGCUAACUACGUG